rnacentral:siRNA from 1 species
GGUCGGUCGAGUAAAGUGGUCGAG